rnacentral:rRNA from 1 species
UACAGAGGAGCCAAGCGUUGUCCGGAUUGACUGGGCGUAAAGCGCACGCAGGCGGACGCGCGCGUGGGGUGUGAAAUCUGGCCGCUUAACGGCCAGGCGCCAUCCCAUACGGCGCGUCUGGAGUGAUGCAGAGGUCGGUGGAAUUGCCGGUGUAGUGGUGAAAUGCGUAGAGAUCGGCAGGAACACCCAGGGGGAAACCAGCCGACUGGGCAUCUACUGACGCUGAGGUGCGAAAGCGUGGGGAGCGAACAGG